CCGCUCCUCAUUUCUAUAUCUCCUGAUUUGAACGUUGGAUUGCACAGAAUUUUAUGAGGUGCUUAAAGAGGUGUGUUUCCUUUUCCUUUUAGCCCUUAUUGUCCCCAGACCCCAUUCAUUUUGGAAAUCGUUAUUUAGAAGCCAUAUUGAGCUCUUAAAUCAAAGAAAUUCAUUGCGUGGGUGAUGAGAAAGAUUCUGGACAGUAGAGAUAUGGUACUGGAAAAUACUCAGCUACAGGGUGAUCUUACUUGUAGGUUGCAAAGUGUAUGCAGGUUGAAUAAAUUUCAUAUCCACAAACUAUAUCUCACUAUGCUGCCCAAUUACACCAGUAGGUUGCAAAGUGUAUGCAGGUUGAAUAAAUUUCAUAUCCACAAACUAUAUCUCACUAUGCUGCCCACUUCACUAAGGUUGCAUGGAAGAACUUACUGCUUAUUACUAAUGUACUAUCUAAGCAUAAGUUUACAGUUUGGCUGGCUGCUCAUCAUAGGCUUCCCACAGUUGAUAGAUUGCAGAUCAUGGGCAU
rnacentral:lncRNA from 1 species